CAGAGCACCGAGCUGAAAGUGGAGAUGGUGGCGCUGCAUGAGAAGAGGGUACGGAAAUGCCUGUCCAAAGUGAAAGGGGUGGAGAGGGUGGAGGUGGAGGGGAGCAUCCAGAAGGUGGUGGUGACCGGGUAUGCGAACCGGAACAAGAUCCUCAAGGCGCUCAGGAGGGUGGGGCUCAGGGUGGAGCUCUGGUCGCCGCGGAACGAGCUGCUCAGCGCCUACGCCGCCGGGAGCUUCGCCUUCAACAACUACGGCUUCUUCUGA
rnacentral:rRNA from 1 species